AUUGAACGCUGGCGGCAGGCCUAACACAUGCAAGUCGAGCGGAUGAAGGGAGCUUGCUCCUGGAUUCAGCGGCGGACGGGUGAGUAAUGCCUAGGAAUCUGCCUGGUAGUGGGGGAUAACGUCCGGAAACGGGCGCUAAUACCGCAUACAUCCUGAGGGAGAAAGUGGGGGAUCUUCGGACCUCACGCUAUCAGAUGAGCCUAGGUCGGAUUAGCUAGUCGGUGGGGUAAAGGCCUACCAAGGCGACGAUCCGUAACUGGUCUGAGAGGAUGAUCAGUCACACUGGAACUGAGACACGGUCCAGACUCCUACGGGAGGCAGCAGUGGGGAAUAUUGGACAAAGGGCGAAAGCCUGAUCCAGCCAUGCCGCGUGUGUGAAGAAGGUCUUCGGAUUGUAAAGCACUUUAAGUUGGGAGGAAGGGCAGUAAGUUAAUACCUUGCUGUUUUGACGUUACCAACAGAAUAAGCACCGGCUAACUUCGUG
rnacentral:rRNA from 1 species